UACGUAGGGUGCAAGCGUUGUCCGGAAUUAUUGGGCGUAAAGAGCUCGUAGGCGGCUUGUCGCGUCUGCUGUGAAAUCCCGGGGCUUAACCCCGGGCGUGCAGUGGAUACGGGCAGGCUAGAGGCAGGCAGGGGAGAACGGAAUUCCCGGUGUAGCGGUGAAAUGCGCAGAUAUCGGGAGGAACACCGGUGGCGAAAGCGCUCUGCUGGGCCGAAACUGACACUGAGAGACGAAAGCUAGGGGAGCGAAUGGG
rnacentral:rRNA from 1 species